GUGUGCAGCAUUAGAACAAGGGGACACAGCCUUGAUUCUCUUCUGAGCAACAUGAACUGGGAUUUCUGCCACCCCAAUCUCGGCUGCCACCUCUGAAGAAGUCGUGACCAGCCACCUCCACAGUAAAAGAUUCCUCCCAGGGAAUUUCCGUUUGGGCAAUGUUUUCAGAAAUGUAAUCUUUUCAAUAUGAAACUGCUGAUGGUCCAAGAAAACAAAACCCUCAACCCAAGGGAACAUCAGAUUGCUGGUCAAGGAGAAACGAGGAGCUGAUGGUCUCAGCAUUUAUUCGACUUGCUCCAUGGACAGAGCAGGAGAAGGCUCAAACCUCUUCACCCCAGGACUCUCCCUCACACCUGCCUCCUCACCCAAACCCUAGUGGACAGGACAGGAACCACCACCAUUUUAUGGUUUUCAAAAAACCUGCAUUGAACACUGUGAGCCAGGCGCUGAUUGAAGCGCCUUUCACUCCAUGAUCUCAUCUACUGCUUGCAAGUCCACCAGGUAAGGCCCACAUUUUGGACAAAGAGCCUGAGGAACCUACCCACUCCCCGCAGUGCUCACACUUUUGUCCCUCCAGAGGACGGGAACCUCCUCUUUCUUUGGCAAGCCCUGUAGGGGACCAGCCCAUGGGCCCUGGGGUAGGGCAGCCAGGCUGCGGCCCUUCCCUCACCAUGGCCUAUGGUUCUCCUUCCCUUUUCCUUUAAGAAGGCCAGGUGAGAAUCACAGGAAAGGGUGAAUUUACCUUGAUUAAAAAUAACAUUUCUUAAAGGGG